UUGGCCUUGGAACUGAAAUAUUUAUUUUACAGAACACGUACAUCACAGGCAGCGGCAGCAGUUCAAGCUUCCCCCAAAGUGCUCUGCCAAUGUGCUACUACUCUGAUCUGGAGAAACUACCACUGGAUGAAAGACAGUAGUUGUCUCUGUACUCACUCAAUCUGUGCUGUCU
rnacentral:sRNA from 1 species